CAAACGCGUUUGCUUCCUUGCCGGUGCACUUUACUGCUGCAAGCUGACGCACACGCGCCCCAGUACAUGGAGCAUGGAUCGCUACUCCCGUCACCCACUCCUCAUCUCGGCCUCUGCGGUUUCUUCUCCCUCGAGCACCUUGAGGAGUGGAACGUCCUUCACAGCCCACUGUCUCACCUCUCUCUGCGGCACUUGCUUGCUCCCUCGCUCGUUUACACUGCUCCCUGCUUCGGUGUACAUUGCCGCGUACAUUUUGACGGCGAGUGGCGCGCAGGCAGCCGCGGAUACGCACUCUUUCACCUGGGCCACCUGCCCCCUCCCCCUCGCCCGCACUUCUCGUCGCUGGGCCGUGUCGCGGUCAUCGUGUGUUCCAUACGCACACAUACAUACACGUUCCCCCGCAGCGGUCACUACCCUAGCCGAGGCGCUUCGCAUUUCGGCAGCCCCCACCCCCUCCCCAUCGCGUAGACGAAUCUCCUUAAUCCCUUCUACUGUUUCUUUUCGCCCUUUCGAGUCGUUUAGCUCGUGUUGAUUUGUGUAAUGGAUACCACCGCUGUCACAGCACCGGAGCACUUAGAAGCGGUGACUGUGCGGCACGGCACACUGAUUGCUGUCCCUGCCUUUAGGGGCAACACAACGCUCUGCGCGUCACUGCCGCUUCAGUCGACGAUCUCCAUGAAUAAGUUAAGCGAUGACGCCGAGGACGCAGGCUGGGUGCCGAUGUCGUUGAAUGCGAUCGGUCGGCAUGCGCCGGUUACGAUCCACACCGUUAGCUCGCAGCUGGCGUCUGCCACGAGCACCUGUGUCUUCUACCCGUUUGACACGCUUAAGACCCGGUUCAUGGCACAGGACGGCACGGCGGUGCGCCAGCACAACGGUCGCGUGUACUCGUCCAUUCAAGGUUCACUGGCGCUCAUCUAUAGAGAGGAGGGCCUGCGUACGCUGUUCCGCGGGUGCCCGGUGGCCGUUGCAGGCUCCGUUGUCGCGUGGGGCGUGUACAUGUAUCUGUACCGUCAUCUGUGCAACGUGACGGAGUACACGUCGUACGUCGGCCGCUCGGGUGUGUCAGUCCUGUCGAGCGCCAUCUCCUCCUGCGUCACCUGCCCCAUUUUCCUCGUCAAAUCCCGCAUGCAGCUCGAGGAGGCGAAUCGCAGCUCGCACUACCGUUCCUUUUGGAGGGGUGUCCGGCACACGGUGCACACGACUGGUGCCCGCUCCCUCUGGCGUGGGUUGUCGCCGCAGCUCUUCUUGAUCUUUCCCAACGCGCUGAGCAUCCCCACCUACGACACACUGAAGCGGUUUGUUCUGCGGUACCGCUGGGAUCACGCUGAGAUGACAGAGCUGAGCCUCGUCGAGAUUGCCGUCUGCUCCACCCUGACGAAGGUGUGGAUUCUCAUUCUGUCGCAUCCGCUCGUCAUGAUGAAGGUGCGCAUGCAAGAUGAACGGGCCACGCUCGGCAAAUACCAGUACCGCUCCGUCGCGCAGAGCAUCUCGAACGUGCUCAAGACACAAGGGCUGCAAGGCAUGUACCGCGGCUUCCAAACCGCCCUCGCCCACUCUCUCCCCCGCUCCCUUCUUCACUACUGUAUCUACGAGAAGACACUGUCGCUUCUGUGCCGGCGAUAUCCGUCGUCGUAGCGCCACCGGGCUGAGAAUGGCUUUUGGGAAAAGGCAAUCGAGAUCAGAGAGGCUAAGGGCAUUGGAGCACAAGUGAAUGUCCUUUGGCGAGGCGGCCUAACAUGUUGCCACACCCCUCCUCCUCCUCUUUUCUCUUCCCAAUUUCUUUGGAUUCCCUCUCGGUUUUUUCUAUUCACAGCAUCACCUGUCAAGACGACGAGACCGAGGGCCGUCUGCGGGACAGACCACCUGAGGCGGUCUCCUUCUAUCGUGUAGACUAGUGCCUGCCAGGAGGUCUGCGUGAGGUUUCUCUUCCUCACACUCCCAGACGCAAACGUGUAACAUGGUGGGGGGCUGCUCCGCGCCCCUCCCGCCGUCGCCCGAUCCCUGGCUCCGCCCUUCCAUUUUUAUUUUUCGUCUCUGGCAACACUCUUCCCCUGCCGCCUUCACUCCCCUUUGUCUACCUCUGUUUUCACACGAAGCGCAGCCUUGGGCGGUCCCGUGCGUGUGCGUGUGUGUGUGCGAGGAAGGAUGCAGGGGGAUGGAAAAGAAUCAUCACACCUAGGC
rnacentral:misc_RNA from 1 species